rnacentral:rRNA from 1 species
AGCAGCCGCGGUAAUUCCAGCUCCAAUAGCGUAUAUUAAAGUUGUUGCAGUUAAAAAGCUCGUAGUUGAAUUUCGGAGUCUGUCCAUUGGUCGGGCUUCACUGUCCGUACUGGUGUGGUGGGUUCUUACCUUCUGAAUAACCAGCAUGCCAUUCAUUUGGUGCGUUGGGGAAGCAGGACUAUUACCUUGAAAAAUUAGAGUGCUCAAAGCAGGCUAGUGCCUGAAUACAUUAGCAUGGAAUAAUAAAAUAGGACGGCAUGGUUCUAUUUUGUUGGUUUCUAGGAUCACCGUAAUGAUUAAUAGGGAUAGUUGGGGGCAUUAGUAUUCAAUUGUCAGAGGUGAAAUUCUUGGAUUUAUUGAAGACUAACUUCUGCGAAAGCAUUUGCCAAGGAUGUUUUCAUUAAUCAAGAACGAAAGUUAGGGGAUCGAAGACGAUCAGAUACCGUCGUAGUCUUAACCAUAAACUAUGCCGACUAGGGAUCGGACGAUGUUAAUUUUAUAAUGACUCGUUCGGCG